AUCAUUAAAAUCACCUGGAUGGAAUCAAUUUCUUCUUGGGAAACAUUCCCAUCAAUUCCCUUCACUCCUGUCUUGGUGGAGCCACAUUCAGUAUGCUGGGGGUCACAUUCGUUGGCAAUCAGAGUUCCAACACUUGAACAACCGAAAUACUCCGAUCUAGGAGAUGGUCAAAAAAUUGUAUUCAUGAAAAAACAAACAAACUGA
rnacentral:lncRNA from 1 species